GGCCGGGCAGCUCCGGGGAACGUGUCGGAGCAGAUUUCUUCCCUGGCGCAUUCCUCAGCGCAGCUCGCCGGGCCGGCUCCAUCGGCAGCCCAGCAGAGCCGGCGCGCCGGAGCCAGACGGCGGGGGUGGCUGAGGCGCGGAGCCCCGGGGCAGGCGGGGCGGGGAGGGGUCCCUGGCGACGGCGGCGCUCGGGCCCCUUCCUUACCUGGAAAGGGAGACUUCCAGAGGUGGGCGGACUGCGACUGCUCCUUGGAGCAAUACACCUGACUGUCCCAGCCGUUGGAGAGAGCCCAAUGCUGGUAGCCUUCGACGGGGAUGAGCGCGUCGUGACGCGGCUCUGGGUGCCCGCUGAUCCCAGGCACCACCGACACGUCCAGGGUCACCUCAGUGACUGAAAAACAGGCUUUGGGCUGGGCUGGCAGGAGGAGGAAAAGACAGGAGAGAGGCUUGAAACGGGCACGAUGCGGCCAAAUUUUAGCGACGAGAGGAGAGGCAGCCAAAGUCUCCUUCAUCAAGAAGACCAGCCAAGGAAGAUGUAGGCCCCCCAAGAGAUCUGGGGGUGUGGGAAGGCUGGAGGAAGAGAAAGUCUAGGGCUACGGGGGUUAAAAGCGUCCGGAGAAGUGUCCGCAUACUCUGAACCAUUCCCGGCUCUUUCGCUGGGUUCCCGAAGACAUUUCGCGCCUGAAACUGGUUCCACGACAGGGGCGCGUCGGGAGCGGGGAGGGAGGCGGCUGUGCAGGCGCCUUCGGGCAGGCGGUGAAAAGUAAAGCCUGGUUGGUUAAUUAACUUUAAGCCUGGGGUCGCUUCUCCCUCCUCCCCCGAAAAAAAAUGUGGAUCUCGCUGAGACACAAAUAAAACCAAAUUAAA